GCCCUGGUAGUAUAGUCCGGUCUAGUAUAGGCGGCUGUCUCCCGCCCGACUUCGCGUGGCAAUAAGCCAUGUAACGGGUACCGGGUUCAAAUCCCGGCCAGGGCGCCA
rnacentral:tRNA from 1 species